rnacentral:rRNA from 1 species
UUAAAUAAUUUGGCAGUAUUUUUUAAAAUUAGAGGAUUUUGUUAUUUAAUAGAUAAUACACUUUAUAAUUUAUUUAAUUUUAUUUAUUGUAUAUUGUUGUCUUCAGUUAAUUUUUAAAAAAAAUUAAUAAAUUUUAUAAUUAAAUAAUUUAAGUCAAAUCAACAUGCAUAUUAUAAUUAAAUUUUAAAUGAAAUACAUUUUAUCUAUAAAAUUUAUGGAUAUAAAAUUGUAAAAUUUUAUUUAAAAUGGAUUUAAAAGUAAAAUUUAAUAAAUAUUAUUUUUGAAUUAAAAUAAAAAUAUGUACAAAUUGCCCGUCGUUUUUAAUUAUUAUUAAAAUAAGUCGUAACCAUGUAA